rnacentral:rRNA from 1 species
UACGUAGGGUGCAAGCGUUAAUCGGAAUUACUGGGCGUAAAGCGCGCGCAGGCGGUUCGUCGUGUCCGAUGUGAAAGCCCCGGGCUCAACCUGGGAAUGGCAUUGGAAACUGGCGGGCUUGAGUGUGGCAGAGGGGGGUGGAAUUCCGCGUGUAGCAGUGAAAUGCGUAGAGAUGCGGAGGAACACCGAUGGCGAAGGCAGCUCGCUGGGACGUUACUGACGCUGAGACGCGAAAGCGUGGGGAGCAAACAGG